rnacentral:rRNA from 1 species
UUCCGGUUGAUCCUGCCGGACCUGACUGCUAUCGGAUUGAUACUAAGCCAUGCGAGUCUUUGCAGUAAUGCAAGGCAUACGGCUCAGUAACACGUAGUCAACUUACCCUAUGGACGAGGAUAAUCUCGGGAAACUGAGCAUAAUACUCGAUAGAUCAUAAUGCCUGGAAUGGUUUAUGGUUGAAAUGAUUCGUCGCCAUAGGAUGGGACUGCGGCCUAUCAGCUUGUUGGUGAGGUAAUGGCCCACCAAGGCGAUUACAGGUACGGGCUCUGAGAGGAGAAGCCCGGAGAUGGGUACUGAGACAAGGACCCAGGCCCUGUGGGGCGCAGCAGGCGAGAAAACUUUGCAAUGUGCGAAAGCACGACAAGGUUAAUCCGAGUGAUUUCUGCUAAAGAAAUCUUUUGCAAGUCAUAAAACCACUAGUGAAUAAGGGGUGGGCAAGUUCUGGUGUCAGCCGCCGCGGUAAAACCAGCACCUCAAGUGGUCAGGAGGAUUAUUGGGCCUAAAGCAUCCGUAGCCGGCUCUGUAAGUUUUCGGUUAAAUCCAUGUGCUCAACGCAUGGGCUGCCGAAAAUACUGCAUAGCUAGGGAGUGGGAGAGGUAGACGGUACUCGGUAGGAAGGGGUAAAAUCCUUUGAUCUAUCGAUGACCACCUGUGGCGAAGGCGGUCUACCAGAACACGUUCGACGGUGAGGGAUGAAAGCUGGGGGAGCAAACCGGAUUAGAUACCCGGGUAGUCCCAGCUGUAAACGAUGCAGACUCGAUGAUGCAUUGGCAUAUAGCCAGUGCAGUGUCGCAGGGAAGCCGUUAAGUCUGCCGCCUGGGAAGUACGUACGCAAGUAUGAAACUUAAAGGAAUUGGCGGGGGAGCACCACAAGGGGUGAAGCCUGCGGUUCAAUUGGAAUCAACGCCGGA